rfam:Oryza nivara chromosome 5, whole genome shotgun sequence.
UUUAAAUGCAACCUGAGUUUCCGUGUCCAACUUUGAUCGUCCAUCUUAUUUAAAAUUAUUUUAUAAUUAGUAUUUUUAUUGUUAUGAGAUGAUAAAAUAUAAAUAAUAUUUUACUCGUGACUUAUGUUUUUUAAAUUUUUUUAGAAUUUUUUUAAAUAAGACGAAUAAUUAAAAUUGGAUAUGAAAAAUCAUAGUUGCACCGUGG